rnacentral:rRNA from 1 species
AAAGAACCUGAAACCGUGUACGUACAAGCAGUGGGAGCCCCACCACUAAGCCAGUGGUGAACUCCACAUACGCAUCCUUUGCUGAGGAUACGGUUAACGGAGCGCAAGCGACGUUCAACCUCAAAAGAAGCAGAGGGGGCUUAGUGGUGGGGUGACUGCGUACCUUUUGUAUAAUGGGUCAGCGACUUAUAUUCUGUAGCAAGGUUAACCGAAUAGGGGAGCCGGAGGGAAACCGAGUCUUAAUUGGGCGUUAAGUUGCAGGGUAUAGACCCGAAACCCGGUGAUCUAGCCAUGGGCAGGUUGAAGGUUGGGUAACACUAACUGGAGGACCGAACCGGCUAAUGUUGAAAAAUUAGCGGAUGACCUGUGGCUGGGGGUGAAAGGCCAAUCAAACCGGGAGAUAGCUGGUUCUCCCCGAAAGCUAUUUAGGUAGCGCCUCGUGAAUUCAUCUCCGGGGGUAGAGCACUGUUUCGGCUAGGGGGCCAUCCCGGCUUACCAACCCGAUGCAAACUGCGAAUACCGGAGAAUGCUAUCACGGGAGACACACGGCGGGUGCUAACGUCCGUCGUGAAGAGGGAAACAACCCAGACCGCCAGCUAAGGUCCCAAAGUCAUGGUUAAGUGGGAAACGAUGUGGGAAGGCCCAGACAGCCAGGAUGUUGGCUUAGAAGCAGCCAUCAUUUAAAGAAAGCGUAAUAGCUCACUGGUCGAGUCGGCCUGCGCGGAAGAUGUAACGGGGCUAAACCAUGCACCGAAGCUGCGGCAGCGACGCU